AUUUAGACGAUGUAUUCCCUAACCACUAAUACAUCCUUGCAACCCUUUAGUUGCGCCAGUGUUGAAUAAAUUUCUUUAAAAGA
rnacentral:sRNA from 1 species